CUCUCGCUCACUAGGGGACCCGAGACCCAGUUUCAGGUGAGAGGAUCCCUUCUCUCCACUGCUUUCCAGGAGCCAGAGGUCUGCGUCCUUCAUGCCAGCAAGCCCAAGGCCAAACAGAGGCCAGGCAAUCAAUAAGCACUUGCUGGAGGGAAAAGGCCAGACUGAAUGGAGGAAUCCAUCUCUGGGAGUUGUCCAGGGUCAAGGGCCUCCUACUGACACCUGUGCUGAGCACCAGUGGGAAAGCAGUCACCUUUGCUCAGAGGGCGGAAGGGUCAGAGGGGCAGGUGCACCUGGUUCAUCUGCUCCUAGUGAGGUGCAGAACUAAAGGGACAGACACCUCCAGGAGUGGUGAUGACCUCACACUUGACCUCUGUCUUCUGCGUCACCAAAAAAAGAGCACUUUUGCAUAAACACUGCAGAAGACUCCACUGCACUGUUCUAGAAAACAAGGUGUUCACAGAGAUGGUAAGCACAAAGAAAUGGAAGGAACUCCUCUUCCAACUCCCUGCCUCGCACUUCUCUACCAAUCACCUUGAAUGACUGGAGAUUAUUCUGCCCCAUCUGCACCAUGGCCUGAUUUGACCCGGCUUCUGGGGAAGUGCCUGCAAACAGGCCUGGUGUGAAGGGCAGCCUCUGGCCAGGGAAAGGCCUUCCUCAGGACCAGUACCAGCUCCUGUUUGCAGAUGGUCCAAAAUCACUGACUGAGAAGGGGCUGUGUACCUUGCCAAGAAAGUGGACUAAUAUUUUUGGGAAGUUUUAAUUUGCUUCAAUUAAAAAUUGAGGGCAGUUCUGAGCAAAACAGAAGUAGGUGAAUUUAUUUUCUGGGCCUCUGCACAGAUCUUUCUGGGCCCUCAGCCUCUGCAGCUGUUUCCAAGAGGCCUCUACCCCAGCCAGCAUUUCCCAACUAGCCGGUUCCAUGACUCCUACCAUUCCCCCCCUACUCUCCCGCCAAAGCAGGCCAGACCUGCCAGGGAGAAACUAAUCUUAGAAAUCAUCUUUUUUCUUUCUUUGAGACGGAGUCUUGCUCUGUCGCCCAGGCUGGAGUGCAGUGGCACCAUCUUGGCUCACUGCAAGCUCCGCCUCCCGGGUUCACAUCAUUCUCCUGCCUUAGCCUCCAGAGUAGCUGGGACUACAGGCGCCCACCUCCACCACUAAUUUUUUGUAUUUUUAGUAAAGACAGGGUUUCACUAUGUUAGCCAGGAAGGUCUCCAUCUCCUGACCUCGUGAUCCGCCCGCCUCAGCCUCCCAAAGUGUUGGGAUUACAGGCGUGAGCCAGUGCACCCGGCCAAUCUUUUUUCUAAAUGGAAGUGAAUGGCUUAAUUACCCUUUUCUGGGGAAAAUUGUGUACAUGCACUGAGAUUUUAAGCAGAUACACAAAAAUUGGGUAAGAAUGCUUGAAUCUAGAGUUAGGGGGUCAGGCAUAUGAGAGCAACUCACUCUACAUUCUUAAGUACAGUAUACAUUUUUUUCCUGUAUACAUUCUUUUAAAUACAUUUUAAAUAAUUUUAAAUAAAUGUAAAAGUACA
rnacentral:lncRNA from 1 species